UUUCUUCCCCCCCCCCCCAAACCGGAAGCACUCUCCUCUCCUCCGCAUCGACUCCAACCGCUGACAAACCCCACCUCCGCUCCGCAACCUACCGUUCCCCUCCAGAGCCUCAACCUCCAUUUCGGGAAGAACCUUCUUGCUCUCUGGCAACGCGUUCCCUCCGCCAACUCGGCUUCCAGAUCCCUACGGGUCACAUCUCAGUUGCCCCCCCGCCCCCGACCCGAGCACAAUUUACACGCCACGUAUAAUCCCUCAAAACUCGCCUGCAGUAUCACUCUUCCUGCCUUUGGACUGUGGGUUCUCCUCCAUCCUCCGACGGGGGCCGGGAGGAAAUUCCGGUGCAGUCGCUCCUCAGAGGCUCCUGUGCCUCCCACCACCUGUUGCUCGUGCAGGGUAGGAUGGUCUGCAGGCCCAGCGCUUGGCUCUUGGAGCAGUGCUCAGCUGCCGGCUGGUGUUGUCGAAAGAACUCCUAGGACGGCAGCCAGCUUUCCUCAGUGCAAUAUCCCGACGCCGUUUUCAGCUACAUGUGCCACCGUUUGGCCUGGAAGAGAAACCCGUAGUCCCUGGGCUUCUGCCCUUCAUGUGGGGCCACGGGGCUCUGAGGCCCUCCGCCGUACCCUUUCAGGACGGAUGAGUUGGCAACGGCCCCAUCUUCCCCCAGCGAUGGCACCAGGAGAUUCUCAUUCUGCUGGCCUCCCUCGCAUCAGCCAAGCACCCAACAAAAGACAGAGGACGCAUUUAAAUUCGGUAAGCUCUACGUGCGGUGGAAAAAUCGAGGUGGAGCGGGGGGCUAGCGAGGGUCCGGCAACAAGGCGCUUGGUUAAGCGCUCACUCGGGGCUCGUACCACAUGACCACGAAGGCCGCGGCUCUGGGAGACGUAACAGCCGCCUUUGAGAAGAGCAGUCUAGUCCAAGGUCCCCCCCGCCAACGGAAAAGCACCGGACUUCCGUGGCUCCACGAUGGUGCGCUUCUCGACGACAGUCAGUGAUCUGGGACCACUGGCGCCAAAGCGAGAAACUGACUGUGAGUCUGAACGAACGGUGGCGUCCAAAUCACCUCGGCACCUGGUUUCUGACAGCAAGUGAUGACCAAAGGCAUCAGGGUAUUUCCCUGCCACGUCAUUUCCACGCCACGCGAUCUCCACCACUGGACGGGAAUCCAGCAUGUGAGCCUAUGACGGUGACGUCUCGGGACUGGACCCCCGUGCUGUUUUGUACUUCCCAUUGAUGGCCCGAAGUCAAGGCGAUAAAGCCAAGAGGUCAGCAGAGACGCGUGGAGGUGCCGGGCUCGAUGCUAAGACACUUCAACUCCACUUGGCCAGAGCACGGGUAUGCCUGCCAAGAGACCACCAUGCUACUUCGCCUUCAGCAAAUAUCCCCUUUGGGGGAAAACCUACAGCUACCCGUUACCUCCAGUUAGAAAAUAUGAAUCAAAAACCUAACGUUAAACUUGUCAGGGGGACUUUGGGAAUCUCCGUCCUCACCGCCGCG